GACGAACGCUGGCGGCGUGCUUAACACAUGCAAGUCGAACGGAAAGGCCCUGCUUUUGUGGGGUGCUCGAGUGGCGAACGGGUGAGUAACACGUGAGUAACCUGCCCUUGACUUUGGGAUAACUUCAGGAAACUGGGGCUAAUACCGGAUAGGAGCUCCUGCUGCAUGGUGGGGGUUGGAAAGUUUCGGCGGUUGGGGAUGGACUCGCGGCUUAUCAGCUUGUUGGUGGGGUAGUGGCUUACCAAGGCUUUGACGGGUAGCCGGCCUGAGAGGGUGACCGGCCACAUUGCGACUGAGAUACGGCGCAGACUCCUACGGUAGGCAGCAGUGGGGAAUAUUGCACAGUGGGCGGAAGCCUGAUGCAGCAACGCCGCGUGCGGGAUGACGGCCUUCGGGUUGUAAACCGCUUUCGCCUGUGACGAAGCGUGAGUGACGGUAAUGGGUAAAGAAGCACCGGCUAACUACGUG
rnacentral:rRNA from 1 species